UCCUCCGUCAAAACGUUGCCGCUGGAGUUAUGAAUGGAGAUCGUGGAGCCUCUGAAUUUUUGUUGACCUCUUAGUGACGAUUUGAUUCAAAUUGUUGAGGUAAUGGUUUAAAUCUUCUGCUUCUACGUCGUCUUCCACCACGGGUUGUGCCGCUGGUUCUGCUUUUCCUCCGGCGGCUUAAAGCACUCAGAGUGCGGUUUUGGCACGGAUUCGAUGGUGUGGUUUGGGCGCGAAUUCGGUAGUGCUAGCUGAGGAGAUCAAGAAGGCGAGCUAGUGAGUCUCUUAAUUAGCCUCAUGCCAUAAAAGAAUAUGCUUUGUGGUUUGGUGAUCUUAAUGACUUGAAGAUUCUACCAGAUGCAGGCCAAGAUCUUUAUAUUAGACUUCCUGCUUCAGAGUUAGAGACAAAAAAUGGAUGCAAGGGCAAGAUACGAAUUGCAGUUUGGGUCACAAUUGGCGUAUUAUGUGGCAUGCUCUUCGUUUCAUGUUUGAUAUGGAAUGGACGAAAAAAGGCCACUCUGAAAGCAUUGUUAGAAAUUCCCUUGUUUGUGCAACUAGAAAAGAACCAAACUGCUGUGGCAUGAGUCAAUGUCCAUGAACUUAAAUGGCACUGAAGUUCUCGGUUUCGGCCUUGUUCUUUGGUGGAAGUACAAGCACAAUCAACAAGCAUUUUUUGAUGUUAAAGCUAGGAGUCUGUUACUUAUCCACUGACUUCCCUCACGCCCACUUCUUAAGGAUUCGCUUUUUUACUUUUCUUCUUCUCCACUUCCUCCAUUUUCAUUUCAAUUACUUUACUGUGUGCUUGAUUUUGCUUGAUUAUUGGUGUGAAGGUUGAAGUGGAAGAACAACCAGAGAUAUCCGAGGCUUAUUCCGUCUCUGCUGUCCCGUUCUUUGUCUUCUUCAAGCACUAGUCACAUGUAAAUGCAACUGAUUUGUGAUCUGAAGCCCUUGAAAAUGAGUUCGAACAACAUGCAUCUCUGAGAUUCAAAAAAGAAUAGAAGAAAUGGUUAGUGCUGGUUUGGACACUAGUUCACUUGAGAUAUAUAUUUAUGUACAUAGUGUUCUCUAAUUAUUAUAUGUUUAAUACAUGUUAUUUUUAAUAUUUUGUUGUUGUAAUUAAUGUGAUUGAAAAAUGAUGGUAAUGUAUUAUAUUGAUUGUUUUUUAAGUAUUUCUUUUGUUUAAAUAUGUAAUAUUUUAAUUUUCUUUUACAUUUUUAAUGUCUUGCCUAAGUAUUUCUUUUAAAUAGUAAAUGAUUAGUAUAAUAAUGUAAU